rnacentral:rRNA from 1 species
GACGGAGGAUGCAAGCGUUAUCCGGAAUUAUUGGGCGUAAAGCGUGCGCAGGCGGCUUUGCAAGACAGAUGUGAAAUCCCCGGGCUUAACCUGGGAACUGCGCUUGUUACUGGCAAGCUGGAGUGUGGCAGAGGGGGGUGGAAUUCCACGUGUAGCAGUGAAAUGCGUAGAGAUGUGGAGGAACACCGAUGGCGAAGGCAGCCCCCUGGGCUGAACACUGGACGCCUCAUGCACGAAAGCGUGGGGAGCAAACAGG